AGUGAACGCUGGCGGUAGGCCUAACACAUGCCAGUCGAACGGCAGCACAGUAAGAGCUUGCUCUUACGGGUGGCGAGUGGCGGACGGGUGAGGAAUACAUCGGAAUCUACUUUUUCGUGGGGGAUAACGUAGGGAAACUUACGCUAAUACCGCAUACGACCUACGGGUGAAAGCAGGGGAUCUUCGGACCUUGCGCGAUUGAAUGAGCCGAUGUCGGAUUAGCUAGUUGGCGGGGUAAAGGCCCACCAAGGCGACGAUCCGUAGCUGGUCUGAGAGGAUGAUCAGCCACACUGGAACUGAGACAAGGUCCAGAAUCCUACGGGAGGCAGCAGUGGGGAAUAUUGGACAAUGGGCGCAAGCCUGAUCCAGCCAUACCGCGUGGGUGAAGAAGGCCUUCGGGUUGUAAAGCCCUUUUGUUGGGAAAGAAAAGCAGCAGGUUAAUACCCCGCUGUUCUGACGGUACCCAAAGAAUAAGCACCGGCUAACUUCGUG
rnacentral:rRNA from 1 species